GUUUGAUCCUGGCUCAGAACGAACGCUGGCGGCAUACCUAACACAUGCAAGUCGAACGGGGUCAUGGGACUUGCUCCAUGACUUAGUGGCGCCCGGGUGAGUAACGCGUGGGAACCUGCCCUGGAGUGGGGAAUAACGACGGGAAACUGUCGCUAAUACCGCAUACGUCCUUCGGGAGAAAGGCUUCGGCCGCUCAAGGAUGGUCCCGCGUCCGAUUAGCUAGUUGGUGAGGUAACGGCUCACCAAGGCGACGAUCGGUAGCUGGUCUGAGAGGAUGAUCAGCCACACUGGGACUGAGACACGGCCCAGACUCCUACGGGAGGCAGCAGUGGGGAAUAUUGGACAAUGGGGGAAACCCUGACGAAGCGACGCCGCGUGCAGGAUUAAGGCCUUCGGGUUGUAAAGCUCUUUCGGCGGGGACGAUGAUGACGGUACCCGCAUAAGAAGCCCCGGCUAACUUCGUGCCAGCAGCCGCGGUAAUACGAAGGGGGCUAGCGUUGUUCGGAAUUACUGGGCGUAAAGCGCGCGUAGGCGGCGAUCUUUGUCAGAGGUGAAAUCCCGAGGUUCAACUUCGGAAUUGCCUUUGAAACGGGAUUGCUUGAGUCCGAGAGAGGAUGGCGGAAUUCCUAGUGUAGAGGUGAAAUUCGUAGAUAUUAGGAAGAACACCGGUGGCGAAGGCGGCCAUCUGGCUCGGUACUGACGCUCAGGCGCGAAAGCGUGGGGAUCAAACAGGAUUAGAUACCCUGGUAGUCCACGCUGUAAACGAUGAGUGCUAGUUGUUGGGAAGUUUACUUCUCAGUGACGCAGCUAACGCGUUAAGCACUCCGCCUGGGGAGUACGGGCCGCAAGGUUAAAACUUAAAUGAAUUGACGG
rnacentral:rRNA from 1 species